ACUGCUCAGUAACACGUGGACAACUUACCCUUGGGACCGGGAUAACCCCUGGGAAACUGGGGCUAAUACCGGAUAGAGCAUCGGUUGCUGGAAUGCACGAUGGUCUAAAGCUGAGGCGCCCAAGGAUAGGUCUGCGGCCGAUUAGGUUGUUGUUGAUGUGACGGAUCAACAAGCCUACGAUCGGUACGGGUUGUGAGAGCAAUAGCCCGGAGAUGGGUUCUGAGAGAAGAACCCAGGUCCUACGGGACGCAUCAGGCGCGAAAACUUUACAAUGUGCGAAAGCACGAUAAGGGAACUCUGAGUGCCUCCUAAGGAGGCUGUUCGGGUAUCUAAAAAGCACCUGAAGGAAGGGCUGGGUAAGACCGGUGCCAGCCGCCGCGGUAACACCGGCAGCCCAAGUGGUAGCCAUGCUUAUUGGGUCUAAAGCGUCCGUAGCCGGCUAAGUAAGUUCUUUGGGAAAUUUGACCGCUUAACGGUCAAGCUAUCAGGGAAUACUACUUGGCUUGGGACCGGGAGAGGUCAGAGGUACUCCAAGGGUAGGGGUGAAAUCCGUUAAUCCCUGGGGGACCACCGGUAGCGAAGGCGUCUGACCAGAUCGGGUCCGACGGUGAUGGACGAAGGCUAGGGGAGCGAACCGGAUUAGAUACCCGGGUAGUCCUAGCUGUAAACGAUGCGGGCCAGGUGUUGGCAUUACUGCGAGUGAUGCCAGUGCCGAAGGGAAGCCGUUAAGCCCGUCAUCUGGGGAGUACGGCCGCAAGGCUGANACUUAAAGGAAUUGGCGGGGGAGCAC
rnacentral:rRNA from 1 species